CCGUAUGUCUCUCAUCUUGACUGAGAGAGCUUCCUGAAGUUUUCCUAGCUUGCUCUUCUGCGGUUCACAGCUCUGACGUGAACCAUCUUUCAGUGGAAAAGCCAGUCACUUCAGUCUGAUCAGCAAGCCAACAUUUUGAGGAUCAUUAGGCAGCCCAGCACAGGAGGAUUGUUUUGAGGAACACAGGGACAAAUGGAGGGCACGGUGAUGGGCACUUCUAUUCUGGCAUACCCUAAAUCCUGAAUGCUUGAAUAAUUUACUCUUACUGCAUAGAUCCUUGGUGAGAGGACAAAACAAGAUCUAAUAAUGUUUCUUUUAUGCAAGUCUCAACAAAAUCAUAGCUCUUGCUUGCCAAAUAACGAGGCUGCUGUUCUUCCUUCUUUUUUGAAGGCUUUGUAUGAAUUUUUGCAGUCUUGGGUUAUUGCCCUGGGGAACAGACUAUAAUUUGAGUGACUGAACAUACUGUCUUUGUUUUGACUUUGAACAGGGUCAGUUCUAAAUAAAUUAUGAAUAACAAGAAAAAUGCAGCAAACAAACACGGAAGCCUCCAUGUGACCAGCCCAGACAAGAGCAGGCCUUUUGUAUCAAAGAAAUUUUUGCAGCGGAAAGUGGAUCUGUUCAUAUUUGCAAACAGCAGUUAAAAAUCCUGGUGAUGACUGCAAGCUGCACGUUCUUAUCAUGCUGAUGGCUUGUGUGCUUCCUUAACCUUUCCAUGAAGGGCUUUCUCAGAAAGGAGCCCCAGUGUGUAGUAAGAAGGUCAUACAAGUUCAGAUGAAGAAGACACUGGAAGGCUUCAGCAUGGGUGGGCCAUCAGAACGACCUAAGCAGAAGAGCAGAAGGUCUGUGAAGGGUAAUGGGACAUUCAGGUCACCACAGAUGAAUUCCCCCAUUGGAGGGGUGGGCAGAAAGUGGAGAGAUAGGGCUAAGGACAAACGUCCUCUGAAUGACAAUUGGCAGUAAGGUCUCUGGCAAUUGUGUGGGCACUGGGCCGCCCACUCAGGGAGACAGACUCACUUUUCCCAGCUGGGACAGCUGGAUAAUUUGUGGCUUGCCAUCAUUCCACAGACGUUGGUUGGUCCUAAUUCCCCCCUCAUUAAUCAGCUGGAGAAGAGCUGUGCAGAGAGGAGUGCUUCUCUUGGUUUCUGCAACACACAUUUUCUGCCACUACAGCAUGGGUGCCCACAAAACAGGAUAUGCAGGCUGUGCAUUUCCUCCAAGAAGGGAUGGAGAUAAAGAUGUAACUGCAUAUAUGCUGUGGUCACUUUGAGGGGGAGUUUCCCAACUUCCCUCCUCCAGUUUCAUACCAAGCUCAGAAGCUUGCAGGACUGAGCAUCCCCAGCAAACUCAUGGCUGCAGAUGCUUCUGGAACUGAUUGGCUAUUACGAACAAAUGUCUAGGGAAUUAUAAGAAAACAAACCAAAAUCUAGUAUAAUAAUAAAUAUUUAUUUAUUAACUUUGGUCAGGGAUGAAAAAUUUCUAGUUAGUAAGAGCUUUAUCCCUGUUUUAUGCUUCAGAACUCGUUUAAUUAGAGUUCAAUCUUUUUCUGAUUUAAACUGAAUUCUCUGCUGUAAAUCCUAACAUGUAAGCAAUGUGCUGAUAUGUGAGAAUGAACGAGUGGGCUGGAAAUAUAAAUACUUCAAGGAGUAAAAGAAAAAUAGUAAAAUUAUAAGGUAAAAAAUACGUAAAUGGCAAAGAGUAAGCGAUACUCUGUUUUACAUAAAAAAGGUAAGAAAAGGACAUCAAUUAUAUUUUUUAAUGUAAUUAUAUCUUUUUGAUAACUAUAAAAGAGUUUGUGACUGCCUGAGGAUACUGUGGGAAAACAUCUACAUUUUAGCAGUGUUAUCUUCUCCGUCUGUUCCUAUGACUUCUGUGUACUGCUGUUGUGACAACAGAUCAGUUACAGCUAUUCUAGUUUCCAGCUGAUUUGGGAUUAAUGGGUCAUUUUAAGGCCUUCUCUAAAUCAGCUGCAUGCUCCACAUAAAUUAUAUGUGAGUCAGGGUGUUUUGUUUUCUAAAGUAAAGACAAUGUUUUCUAAACCAAUGUAUUGCUAUAGACGUUCAGCCUCAUUUUGCCUUAUUUGUUCUUUUUCCAAUGGAAAGCAGAGAAAAAUGUAGUGCAGGAUACUGUACAAACGUUCUCUGUUUAGCCGUGUGGUGUUAAUAUUUUAUUCCAGUUCUUUUCAGUGUAUAAACUUGGAGCUCAGUGAGGUAAAUGGGAAAGCUGGAAUUCACAAACAUAGCUGCAAAUCCCAUCAGCAGUUAAAGACAACAGGUCUGAAACACUCCCCAGUGUGUAUGAAAUCCACAGCACAAACACAAAGUAGUUGCUCUGGGUUAAAUAACAUUUACAACUUAGAUGUAAGAAUACUUACAGAAAUUAUUCCAUUUAAGCAAGUUCAUCUUUUCCAGAAAGACCCUACUGAGUCACUUGAAACUUUAUGUCUGACAGAGAGAGAAACCAGCCAAGAGUGGCUCCAAACAGCCAAGAUGUCUUGGUCAAGUGCAAGAGCUGGGUUGUGACAACAGAAGGGGAUGUUACGUGGCAACUGAGGAAAAGCAGGAACAUGUUUAGCUUCCAGCAGCACUAAAAUAAACAGGCAGGUUGCAGGCACAUUCUACAUUCAGUCCAGCAUUUUUUUUUCUCCCUGCUUUAAUAAAUGAUGCUUCAUGCCUGUUGAGCUUUCAUAAAGUGCCUCGUCAGUGACAGAAACAAAGUCCCUGGUUCAGAGUUCACUGAAAAAAAAUGAAGAGGCAAUGCAGAAAGCAGGAGGAAAUGGAUGAAUGGAGAGGAGGAUGAAGAAGAACGUCCUGCAUCCCUUUGGUUGCAUCCUCUGACAGCUCUCUUAUAUGCAUAUAUCCACCAUGCACAUCUUGAGGAUCCAGAGUAUGUGUUAUUGCUACCAUAUUACUGCGCUACCUGUCAGAUCCAUGACAGAUUUGAGCUUCAGAGGGGAGAUGUGAACAGCAGUUAUCUGAACGGGUGGAUUACGUCACUAGCACAGCAAAUGUAUGAGCCCUCUGACUGAUACCGUGUGACUUCAUGGAAAUUUGCUUCUUACCAGCAACAGGGAUAUCACCAGUGAGACAGAAAACGUAUUGAUUGAAGAGCUGCAGUUCCCCAAAUUCCUUCUAUUAUUUCUCACCCCGGGGUUUUAAAACCAGGCAAUCUCCUCUUUAUCUGGAUCCACCCUCACGUAAUCUCUCUGUUUUUGACAGGUUUGUUUUCAGGUGUUGUCCUGAAAAAAAAAAACACAACCAUCACCAGUGAGCUUUUCAGAGCAGGGAUGAGACAAUGAAAAUGUACAUGGUUCAGUUUCCCUGUCUGAGCUAGUAAACAAUAUUGUCACUGCAGAAGUGUGUAGGAACUGGGUAGUCUCCCUUUAUGUAUCAUGCAAGCCCCCUUAGUAGCCACUCAUGCUUUUCAGCCCUUGUGAUGGAGAGAAUCCAACAUAAAUGCCCAUCACCAGGAUAAGCAGCUGGUACUUUGGGUGAGGGAAAGCACCAUCCAGCACGGGAGGAACAACCCCAGCUCUGCUCGGCUCUGUGGUCUCGCUGUGCCCUGGGUGGGAGCAGAUGAGCAGCGGGUGUCGGCGUGCAGGCACCCUGUUCUGGUUGACAAGCCGAGCGGUGCCCGUGCCAUGGUGCAGCAGCCACAGCUGGGGAGCUCCAGGCUGGGGCCAGGUGAGAGGGGCUGGCAGCUCCAGAGCUGGCUGGGAGCAAACCUGCAUCACCACCUGAUAUGGGAGAGCAAGACGUCAUCCGACCCAAAGCGUCUUGCAGAUGGCUUCUCGGCUUAGCUAAGCAGUUGGGAGGAAGCAAUACGGUAACAUAAUUAUGGAGAUUCUGGGAUCAAAGCUGCUGUGCACCACGGAGACACACCAGCUGGUAGCCUGGAGAGCUCUAGCACGGCUGUCUUGCAGAAAUGCAUAUGCAUGCAUGUCUAAUAGAUACUGCUAUGGAGCAAAGUAAAGCCCUGCAAGUACCAUACAGGCAGCCAGCACAGCUCUCUGGCUCCCAAGCCAUCCAUCCAGGUGGUGCGGUCAUGUUGCAACAUUCACUUUGGGGAUAAUUAAAGGCACCAAACAUUUAGGUAGCUUACAAGUGACUGCAGAGAAAGCCUUCAGCAUUCAUGUUUCUCAUCUAGCCCAACUACUAAGGGUCGGGGUAGUGAGGGAUCAGCUCGACUAGAAAAGCAAAGUCUUCCUAAGUGAGGAAAAAAAAAAAAAAAAAGCAUUCUGAAAAGAUCUACAUAAAAUACACAAGAAGAAAAGCUAUUUUUACAACAAUUAACAGCCUAAAAUCAUGUUGAGGAGGGAGGUAGGAAAGGAGUUUACUCCUGCCUGCCACAUCAACAAAGCCUCGUGAGGAGUGUUGUGUGCAGGUUUGUUAUUGGUAUUUGCUGUGGAGAUACUGAGGGAUGUCAGAGCAAGGACACCAAUUGAUUCAGGAUGGAAAACCAGUGGAAAUGAGGAUCAUGGAAUGAUCGGAGUGCUUGCCUCCAAUGGCUCUUGGAGACAACUAAUCAUGCUCAGUGACACCUUGGCCACGCUCUGUAAGUACUUGUGCAUGGGAAAGGUACCUCAUGGAGGAGGCAUUCAGUACUGCCAGUAGAAGAUUUGGGACAGUGCAGUUAAACAAACUCAGCCCAAAAAAAAAAAAAAAAACAACCAAAAAAAAAGAUUCUUAGAAGUGUAGAUGUUCCUUUGUCUUGCCACAGUGUAGACAUGUCAUUAUAAAGGUCUCUCUCAGUUUCAUAAACAGGAUGACUUGCAUCCAACUUUGUCUGUAACACGCUUGACAGAAAGCCAAAAUCACUGGGGCCUCAAGCCAUCAGAACAAGUCCUUGCACAAAACAUCCAUCAACAAGGCGAGGAAGGGAAUGAGUUGGACAAGGUGGUUUGUGCUCCCUCAGUUCAUUGGCUACGUGUAGCCAAACUGCAUCCAAACUGCAAUUCUAGCAGAAUCUCAUGCUGCAUAAGUCCAACGGCAGCCCCAGCAGAUAGUGGUUAUUAUAUUGCUAUCAGCAUCACUAUUCAGCAUUACUAUUACAUUUGCUAUUAUUAUCAUUUUGAUUUCCCCUGAAAUGUAGGAAGUAGAUGUGUUAGGUCAUGGCUGUAGGUUGAUGUCAUGAGACAGGUGAGCUGAAUGCACUCUGUUUGUGGGUGCAUUCAGGCUGAACCAACAGCCCAAAGCCUGCAGUCUGCUCCAGAGAGCUGGCGCAUACUGCCUAGCUUUCAGGACUGCUCCUCUACAACGAGCUGUGUGCAGCUCCUCAAACACCUGUUCAGCACAGAAGGGAUUAUUUUGAUACCAAAUUUCAAGCUUCAAAAUGCAGGAUGUGUCUACAUAAACAGGUGCGGAUGAGUGCCUUUGCUUUGCAUAUUCUCAAAUGCAGGUGGAAGAGGAGCACACCUGCCUGCACCCAGCUGGGCUACAUAUUCUUAGAUGUGUUCAAACCAUUGCCUUUCGCCUUUCCCCUCCAAAGAAGUCUGAGCAAACCGCACAGUGAAUAUUAGGGAAGUGGUUUGCUCAGUGUAUUUACUCUUCCACCCUCUUUUACUUCAAAAAUAGAAAAAGAUUUUUUUUUCCUAAAGCCUCCCCAAACCCCAAAUUCAUUCUCAGAUCAAUUUUCAUGCCUUGAAGGGAACGUAGCUGCAGCUGUUUCAUGUGCAAAAAUGGGAAGUUGUCUGGCAAUUUUUUGGCAGCCUCAACUUUUUUGUUGUAAAACAGAGUAAAUACCGAGGCAGCUGGUGCUCUGCAGGAGUCUGCGGCUGACAAAACUUCGGUGUAAGAAGGCUUAUUAAGUGAUACUCACAGCAGUCCUGAUCUUAAGGGUGGCUGAAGCAUGGCAGCAGGCGCAGCUGGAGCAUCACCCUCCGAUCAAUGGUAAUAGAGCAGUACUUUCUGGACUUGUUAUUGUCCUGUAGCACACAAGAAAUAUAACUGGGACAUCAUGAAAGGGACUAUUUGGUUUCCUUGGCCAGAUAAAUUCGCAGGGAAAUUGUGGUCAUUUUCAAUUAAAUAGAUAUGAGUGAGGUAUCAUACACUAACUAGUCUUACCCCAUCUUUCAAGGCAAUAAACUUCAUGUUAAUGCUUAAAAGGCAAGGCAGCCUCUAUUAACAAAUGGCAGUGCCAGAGAGGGGGAAAGAUAGUUAAAGGCAGGAAUGCCACAAUUCAGACUGGAGCAAUAGACAGUGCUCUCUAACAGCUUGCAGCUUUGCAGCUGCCUGCAUUUUGGGGUCUUUAGUUCAGGCUGCCCACAAGCAUGAAAGACUGGAAAGCACGACCUGCCUUAGACAAGCAGGUAUGAUGAGAAAAGGUGAAAAUCCCAAGGGCAACCUGUGGUUUUGCUCCAGGCUUGCUUUUCCUCUGCUGCUUCUCUGACAGAAGGACGGCGUACUGAAGCACGACUCUGCUGUUAGUGAGCUCAGGAAGGGCACGUACCUCAGCACACAAAAGGCUGGCUUCCCCCGCUUUAUUUGACCCUAUGCAGGUGGCAGCCUCUUCAGCUCGAAAUGCUCAGUUUAGAAGUGACUGCUGGGCAAGAUGACUCCUUGAAAAGAGGAGCGGGAUCCAAUCCAGAGAGAAUAGUUUCUUACCUUGGAGUCAGCCUGCUUUUUGCUCUGAAUAUCUCAAAGCAGACCGGGUUAUGCCAUCUUUGAGAGCCAUUACCACAAUGACUCAGAUGGGCUCUUCUUGAACUGAAGCCCUGCUCAGCGAGGCAAAAUGUGCACUGUUUACAUUGCUUCUUUGAGUGCUGGAAAGUUUGGUACUCUCCCAAAAUGCAAAAAAAGGAAAAAAUCAGUCAAAUUUAUUUAUGAACAGGAUUAUUAAUAUGGGGAAAACAGACUAUGGUUGAAAACUUUCCAGACCAAUGUAAGUUCUCCUUCACGCCAAAUUUAUAAAUGUGUAAGAGCAUUGACUUAGAAAUAAAUUAGUCUAUUCAGCAAGAGUGUAAUCUACUGUGCCUCCAAUUAGUAAAGGUAGGGAAAACACAGAGACCUUCUGAGAAGGCAUUGCCUAACAAAACCGUGACCAGAGAAAUGCUUGUGUAGAGGUGAAACAAAGCCUGCAGCCAGCAACUGAGCAGAAAACAGAUCUGGGGCUACUGCGCGGCACCAGCUGCCCAUCUGCACCUUCACACUGCUGCAACCACAGCAGCGCCCUUAGGGAUUAAACCAGCAAAUCAGGCUACAUGCCUGCAAGCUCAGAAGGCAUUUUUGAGCACCUCUGCAAGCUUGUUUCCAACCAAAACUCAUAGAUAUUGGAUGACAAAGCCUGUCACAUUAAAUGUUCCUCAGGAUAUUCUGUCCACAAUAUGACCCGAAGCAUUUUCUUCAGAGAGGCUGAUAUGGUUUAACUAGACACUGUGGUGUGAAGUGCCACGCUUGAUUGAAUAACUUGUCUCCACUCUUAAAAUGCAAAAAGAAUUUAGACAAGCAUUUAGAAGCUUUGCCAUUAAACAGUUUUCUUGUCAAUUGAUCUACCGUGCACAGGAAAGACAACUACUAGAUUCAUCAAUUGCCUGCAAAAAAACUAGGAGCAGGUCUUAAUCAGUUAAGCAGGGAAGCAUUGCUUGACAGCUCCCUUUGGGAUGGAGCUCAUUUGGGGCCUGACUAUUCAGCAGGAUUAGUAACUUCAAGCUCCGGAAAGUUGACCUUAAACAAAGGUGAGCUCACAUCUGCAAAAUGUCAUAGGCACAGCACCGCAAGAAAGAGCUGUGCAAACCUCUCCCCGCUCCCCUGCUGAGAGCUGUAAGAACUCUUUUUCGUUUGUUUUCCCCCAAGAGUCUCACACAGCUUUUAAGCAGCUUAAUUGUUUCCUAAGCCUCUGCCUUUUCUCUUUCAGCUGUGUUUUUACUGUCACGCAUUUCGUGACUCGAGCCCCAGCUGCUCUGCGGGUGCCAUGCCUGGGCAGCGCCAGGGCUGUGGUGGGUGUGCUGGGAUGCGAUAGCGUGCCGCCGACUAGCCAAGGUGAAAUGAGAGCUCAGAAACAUCCACAGGCAGGGUGUCUCAGCCAGCCAAUGUCUCUGAGUUUUAAGCCUUCGCCGAAUACAGCUUUCUUCCCUCUCCUGCUAUGUGCCCUGUUUCUUGUCUCCCUUUCUUCCCUUAACCGCAGUGGUUGUGCCACAAGCAGGAUGCUCUCUGUACAGAAAUGGUCCCUGUUUUCCCAGCCCCCAUUGUUACAGAUCCCACAGGGCACUUUGGUGUCAGACAAGCAGCAGCACCCUCUGCGCCAGACACAUCCCUGUUGCUGAAAGCAAGCACACUGCUCUUCAGCGGGCUGCUCCUGUCUCCUCCGUAUGGCUUCUUCUUGUCUCAGCAAAGCCUCGUGUCUUGGGAAAUAUCUUUCAUCCAUUACAAAUAAAACUCCCUACAACUUCCACUCUCUUUACAGCAAGGUACCAAAGACUCGGUUUCUUUGUGGUGUUAGCCUGUGCACGUAGGUGCAGAAAGCACCUGGAAAUGGACAAGUGCUGAGCAGGCUCCUCUCCCACUCAAAUUACUCGUGGCAGUACUGCCAGCCCUGUGACUUUGCACAGCUGGCCAAAUCUGUUCUGCCUCCACUCCAUGAAAAUAGAGCAACUCUCUCCCCUUCCUUGACCUCUGUCCCAAGUGCUUUCAAUAUACCAAGAAACUAAUUAUUACACUUAAAGGCAAUGUGGCAGUCAGUCUGAUGCUGUAGUUCUGGUAAAAAUCCAUGCUGAGGGCUAGUCUUCACAUGGGAGUGUAGCAAAAAUGAAAAUGUUUCCACUUUUCAAAGCUACAUAUCAAUGUGAAAAUUCAGGUAAAGAUCAUUUAGAGAUGCAAAGGAUCGACAAAUCUUUGCAUAUGUACUUAUAUAUAUAUGUAUAUAUUUGUGUAAUAUUUGUCACCCUCACAAUCAAUAUGAGUUUCAGUUAAGUGGAACUGAACCAUCCAAGUAUUUAUUUCAAUUACAUGUGGGUGGAUUCAGGACAUAAAGUUUACAAGUCCAAUUUUAUUCUUCUAAUGUUCUGCUGGGAUUCAAUCUCCAGAAUAAUAAAAGUUGCAGAAAACAGUAUUCACCACGGGUGUGCCCCAGUAAACUUGAAAGUCUGAUGCCCAUAAGUGUAAGCAGAUAGUUAGGAAAACAAACUUUUGCUGUACAAAAUUAUAACUAGAUCGGUGCUGGAAGUUUGCUUGUCCUUCACUUUACGAAUGCCUCAUUGCUGUUACUCAGGGCUGUGCUUGACCUCUGGCUAUAUCAGAGUUUAGAAGGAAACUGUGGAGCUGAGAAUUAAAAUGGUCACUCUGCAUGCAGAAUCAGUGCUGGCUGCCCAUUCGCCUUUCUAAAAACUGAUGCUGAUGAAGGAAGUGUGACCCUGGGGGAGGAAAGGGCUGCCGACAGCAGACCUGCCCUCAGCCCUGUCCCCAGGCACGGCAGGCUCCAGGCAUUUGCAACAGAGGACCCCGGGGGAGGCUCAGUCACAAAGCAGAAACGUUUCUGCUCCUCAUUCAGUGUGAAAUAAUUGCCUGAAUGCAUGCGAGGAAAUCCUCUCCUUGGAGCAGCUUUGGGGAUAUAACUGAAGGCCUGCUCCACUUCUGCCAAAGAUAAAGCAAUUUAUCCUCCUUUUUGCUAUUUCUUGCAGGAGAAAGCCCUGAAUUUCUUCCAAGACAUGACAGCGGUGUAUAUUAGGACGUGAUGAGGAAAGAAAUUGGCUCUUUUUUUCUUUCUUUCUUUUUUUUUUUUCUUUUUGGGCCACCGCGGGGCUUUUUCUAGCUGAGGAGCCGUGUCAGCGAUUUCAGUGACUUUAUCCCCACUCUGCUGCGGCUGAUGCUGCUCGUGCAGCAAACCUGCCUGCAAGGCGCUGCUGGCAGCAGCGGCGUGUCCCCUGGGAACCAGCCCUUUGUGCCUAGGGUGAUCUGCAGACACAGGUUGCAUAAGCUGGCUGCCCUGUUUUGUAAGGCGUUUUGGGGUCGGAUUCACUGCUGUCUUCCUCUUGCAGAAGUUUUGUGCUUGGGUUGGUAUUUAUAUGCUGUGUAUAUACAUACACUUGUGUGUAUAGGUACAAGCACAAAUGAAAAUAUGGAUUUAUACGUAUAUGUAUAUAGAGAUAAUAGAAAGAUUUCAGAUGUAGGACUAAUAAUUAGAAACUAAAAAUUCCUUCAAACCAAUUAUUUGGUGAUAUAUACCUAGGGAGGACAAAAAUCUUUUGAACACUUGUAUGUAAUGAAGAUGCAUCUGAACACAUACAUUGUGUCCCUCACCCGCAGUGUUCAUCUUAUGUCUCUGCAGCUUGAUAGCUUCAUAUAUGGAUACCAGUGUGCUUACAUGAUAUCUUAUGAUGGCACGGUAUGUAAACACAUACAGAAAUAUGCGGUUAAAAAGAACGAUGAAAACAAUGUAAAUAUUAAAUGUUAGCAUGUUUAAUUUAUACACCUCAAAACAAGCAUGUUUUUGCAUGGGAACGUGUGUUUUAUUACCGUAUGUAUCAGCGAGCCUUCCUACGAGUACAUGUGUGUGGGAGUAAGGGAUGUGAUUAUGCAUUUGCAUAGCACUCUGCAUGAGUGUAGACAUGGAGGGAAUUAUACAAUCUAUUUUUAAAGUCUGCAUUACUGCAAAUGUUGCUUCAUCAAGCUUUUAUCAUAGCUGAUUAAUUAUGUAGAAUGAAUGAUGAUGAGUUCUCGUCUUAUCUUCCGUCUCUGCACCAUAGAAGAAAUUCACCCAGGUUGUUCUGUAAGACUCACAGAAAGGUGCCCAGGCAGACAGUGCAGGAAGUACAACUCUGUUUUUUUAAUCCUCGGGACAUCCUACAGAUACCAGUAGCUCUCCUCAUGCAUGAGAUUAUUGAUCUCCAUGGCAGUAAUGAAAGAUGAAAAGGUCAAUUUUUAAAUGUGAGCAGUAGGGACCACUUGUUAUGACAACAACUAAUGUCAGAAAUUUGUGCCCUCGCCUUUCAAGAAGGUCUUAGUUAUAUUAACAGUAUUGAUUUACUGCGCGAAGAUGGUGUUUUCCUAUCAUUUUGUCUUCAUAUCGCCUCUAUCCAGUGCUUCCAGCACAAAGCCACUAUUAGUUUUGAUAGCUGCCAACCCCCUAAUUUCCUUCUUUUCUGGCAUGUGAGGCACUUGUGUCAGGCCACCUGCAGCAUGGACUCUGUCUAUCCUGCAGACGUGGGCUUUUUGGCACGGCACCCUAGGGUGGGCACCCUCCCCAUGGCAGCACCCCCAUGGCAGGGAGCAGCCCCCAUGGCACUGGGGGGGUCCCAGCAGAGGAGAGAGGCCAUGGGGCUGAGCCAUGGUGGGGUGGUCAUGGGCAUGCGGCCUAGGCCUGGCACGGUGUCACAGCAGACAGGGAUGGGGCAGGGGGUGCUAACAAUGUGAUUAGGUCAGGAAAGGGGGUGGCAGAGUAUGUGGAGUUAGGCUGUUUUUAAUAGGGAAUAUGAAAUGAACGGGUGUGGGGGACAAGUGGGAAGCGAGGGCCUGGCUGGAGGAGAGGGAAUCUGAGCAAUCCCGGGACUGACAACCACAGAGCUUGGGAAUACCAGGACCAGGGGGGCACCCCACCCCAGGGGGACAUCUGUGGUGUGACAUUUAUAGCUACGGCAAAUAUCAAGGCAUUUCUAUGUUGCAGACACAGCUGCAUCACGAUUCAGAUAAUAAAGAGCCUUUGUGCUGCUAACCAUUUUAACUUUAAUGUGAGCUUUCAAAGUUGUCUUAAAACAUCAUUGUCAGAGUUGUCCUUUUACAUAAAAAUUCCUUCCUUCCUUCCUUCCUUCCUUCCUUCCUUCCUUCCUUCCUUCCUUCCUUCCUUCCUUC